rnacentral:lncRNA from 1 species
UUUAAGCUGACUUUAAGGCAAAAGUGGAGAGCAAUAAGAACAUGAUUUGGUUUGGUGGGGUCACCCCAUCUCAUCUCCAGUGACCAGGUCAAGCAUUACAUUCUUUUGGGGGUACUUAGGGUGAGAAAGCGGGCAUCUCUGCUACAAGACCCCAAUUUAUAUUUCUCCAAAGAAAUUAUGUAUGUGUUUAUUCUUUUUUUUUUUUUUUUACUAUAGUAUUAUUUUAUUAUCUCCCAUGUUAUUUGUUCAAUGUUCCUUUGUCUGAAAUGUUGGGGUUGUACUUGGUCAUGAAGUUGCCAGUUUUUGAUACAAAUAAAAAGUUCCUCUACUGCUAACUGGGAAGUGAAUCGGAAGCUGAGUGACAUCAAGAUAUAUUCCCCCCCAUACCGGACCUUUACCGACCUCCCAUAAUCAACCAAAUCCAGCAUCAAAAGAUCAGAGCCAAAUAAACUGUAACUUUGUCAAACCUGAGGCCUGUACUAUACAGCUGGAUUAACACACCCAGGAUAACUGCCAAAACUCACUUAACUUCACCAGAUCUCCGUAAUCCCGAUCAGCUGUACUACGAGGCAGGAUAUCAUAGAAUAGAAUAUAGAAUAGAAUAUUCCUUUAUUGAUCCCCCAUGGGGGAAAUUUUUUUUGUCACAGCAGCAUCACAGACAAGCCAACAAGUGCAAAAAUGCAGUUAUAACAAUAAGGGUCCUAAUAUUAAGAACUUAAAUAAAUGUAAUAAUUAAGAAAAAAAUUAGAAAAGGGAGAAGAAAAAAUAAAACUUUCUACAAUAUACACAAUUUAAAUGCCAUAAAAAAAGUGGUGGUGUAAAAUCAGAUUUGUUACUGUUCAUUGUAAAGUCUUAUUGCAGAGGGGAGAAAUGAUCUACGGUAGCGCUCCGUCCUGCAGGGUGGGAGUUAUUGAGUAUCAACUCAAUAACUGAAUUCAAUAGAGGGAAUUCACGCUGAUGUCACUCGACUUCUGUCUGUCUGUGUGCAUCACAUCACAGAUGUGUCCAAAAUCUCCCUGAACGAUUCCUGCCUUCAUUUAAGACAGAAAGAACAAACAGGCAAAGAAUUUUUUUGGAGACUUAGACAUUUCUAUAUCCUAUUAAAAAAAAUAAAAAUGAGGAAGCUCACUCACUUCAGGUUUCUCAAAAUGAAUAGUUGUUAUCCCGCUGCUGUUGCAGACUGUUUUCCUGCAGUUGCAUGAGAGACUGCGGUGUUACCAGUUCCAGCAAAUUUGCAAGAUGUACUUCAGUGUAUUUCUCAGUCUAUCUAUUAUUUGUGAGUUAAAAACUACUAAAGAUGUUAUUUUGGGUAGACAAAUGGAAACUGAGAGAUUCUGUUUGAUCAAAAUACAUGUAUUCAUAUGUUCUGCCCAGUUCUUGGCUUAGAAGUCCAUGUCUAUCAUCAACACUCAUUAUUAUGUCCCUAUUAACAGGUGACAUUUCAUUCUAAAAAGGGUCCAGUGAAACUUAAGAGCACUUUGUGCUCUUGCAGUGCUGGGAAGGUGUUACGUAACUACAUAGUGGUGCUUCUGUUUCAAACGGCAUGCCACAGGUAUGUUUGUUUGUUUUUUAUAUGCACACUACAGGCCAAAAGUUUGGAAGCAAGAUCAGAUUUGUAUAAAAAAAAGAUCAUAGUUUCGUAAAUAUAACUUACAACACAAUAAACAUGACUAUUGUGUAAAGAGUAACUUAUCAGAAGACAUUUUGACUAUAAUUAUUAGGUAUUUGAGUUUUUCUAGCUUAGACUUUGCUUUCUUUAAAGUAACCUCCUCUGGCUUUAACAACAGCUUGGCAAGUUUUUUAAGGUAUGUUUCAGGGAUUGCAUUCCAAGCUUUCUUAAGUUCAUUAAAAAGAGACUGCUGAUUCGUGAGAUGCGUUUUUCUGACCGAUAGAUCCAAUUCAUCCCGCACAAGCUUAAUUGGAGAAAGGUCUGGAGACUGAGGGGGCCAAACCAUCUUUUGAAGAACACCUUCCUCUUCUUUUUUGUCUAGGUAACCCUGACAGAGCUUGGCAGAGUGCUUAGGGUCAUUGUCUUGCUGCAAAACAAACUUAUGAGCCACAAGUCUGAGUCCAGAUGGAACAGCAUGGUGCUGGAGGAUGGAGUGGUACUGUUCCUUCUUCAUGAUACCCUUUACUUCAAACAAAUCUCCUACUCCAUUACCUGCAAAUCUCCACACCAUGGAACUACCACCUCCAUGCUGAAUUGUGGGUGUAACACAUGGUGCUUUCAGAUGUUCACCAGUUUGUCUGCGGACAUAGACCCUGCAUUUUGUUUCUAGUCAUCAUAAGUCCAAUUUUUGUGAGCUUUUGCCCACUCAUAUCUCUUUUUCUUGUUCUGUGGAUGAAGUAGUGUUUUUUUGCAGAUACACAACCCUUCAGACCAGCCUUUCUCAAACGUCUUUUCCCGGUUGUCACAGAUAUUGGUUACAACUUUGUCAUGUUGAUUUCCUCCCUUCUUUGUGGUGCUGUCUUUCGCCGAUCUCUCUUACUGGUGACAAUGCUAUGUUUAUCCUCUCCUUUUGUAAUAACUCUCUUUCAUCCAGGUCUUUUUCUAUCAUCAUAACUUCCAGGUUCCUCAAGUCUCUUCAGAGUGUAGUGGACUCCUUUGUUAAACACCUUUAGGCGUUUUGCAAUUUCUCUUUCUGUGUAUCCUUCUUUCCUCAAUGUACAAAUCUGUACUUUUGUUUCUUUGCUCAGUUGCUUCUUUCUAACCAUUUCUGCAGUAUUUUGAACACAGUUGGGAUUUAUUAGGAUUUUUGUAUGCAGACUCUCAAAAGCCAAAAAGUUGAAGUGAAUAAUCCAACUGUGAUUUGCUUUUUGAUUGCUUUUCCACUGAAGUUGUGACUCUUGCAAAUGUUUUCAACCCUAAAACAAAGCCCUUAUUAUCUUUUGCUGACAUAUAUUUAGCAAUGGUCUGUUAACAUCAAUGUAUAUCUAAAGGUAAAUGGAGUAAAAUGGUGCAUUUCCAUGAAAACAAAACCUAAACAUGGAGUAAAUACAUCCCAAAAUACAUAAAACUCAUACUGGAUUUUAAAAAAAUCAUUGUGAACAAUGGCCUUGCUUCCAAACUUUUGUAGUGUAGCUAGUCUAUGUAAAUGCAGAUUAAAAAAUUAUAUAUUAUGGAGAUAAAUUAUCACAAUUCCACAAUAUUCUAAUUUUGGGGGAUUUACCUAUAUAGCACUUUAGGAGUGAAGUGGGUGCCCAGCCCCUGGCAUGCACCAGCUUUCUGCAAACCUGGCACCAGCCAAGGACACAGGGCAGAUAUUAAUGUUUGUUCGAUGUUCAACAAGUUCAAAAUUUGUAUUGUCGUAUCAAAACAUUAUUCAUCUUGUUUUUAUUACAAGGGAUUGCACCAGAGGCCACUAAUAAAAUGGAGGUGUGUAGACCAGUGCCUACAAAAAAAAGACUGGUGUUAAAUGCAUGCUGUACAAGGCAUAUACUGAUGAUUAUGACUGAGCUCUUACCUAUCAUAUAAAAUCAGAAUCAGAAGGGGUUUUUUUGCCAUUGUCAAUGAACAGGAUUCACAGACUAGGAAUUUUUUACGGCGUGAUGGUGCAACAUUACAGUGGCCUGGAUGUACAAAAUACAACCGCAAAAGAGAAAACACGAUCUUUCGAAACGUUUUUAUUGAGGGUGGGUGGCCAACUUCACGAAGGUGGAAUAUAGGGAAUCUCUUUUUUGCCACAGUUUAGACUAACUUGGUGUUUUCAAAGCUUUUAAACACAGUAACUAAAGAAACAUCAGUGGGCACAUUUUUGUAAUUCAUCAUGGUUGUCAAAGUUCAUUAUUUGUUAUUAUUAAAGCUGUUCUAUUAAGGUUAAAGCUCCAUAUAAAAGUAACCCAUUAGUAAAAUAUCCCGGUUCGGUGCGGUUCUCCUCCUCUGAUCAUAGCGGCCUCCUUAGCAGCAGUCUGUUAUACAGAAAUAAGAGACCCAAAAUUUAACAUAUUUAUUUCUUUGUUUUCCUGCAGCAUCACAGACUAUUCAAACCCCUACUCUUCAGACCUUUCUGGAGUACAGAAAGAAGAAAGCAGAGGAGAGGCAAAAGUUUUCAUGGGCUAAAACAACAGUAAUUAAAACAGCAGCCUUAGGCAAGGAUGUCAAAGGACAUCAGUUAUUUUAUCAGCACUCUUUUGAAAGUGAUACAGCAUAAUGACAAUGCUUCAUGUGAUUCGACAUUCAAUCAUCAGCAUUCAAUAACAUUAAUCACAGUGGGUGACUAUUAGAUCUUACUCCUUUACCAGUCAAAAGUGUAAGUUGGAUCAAAUAACCAUGUAUCUUGAAGAUCUUGCAGGACAACAGCGACCCCUCCUCUCUCUGCACACACCCCAGAGACACUCCCAGUUUGAAGCACAUGAAACCAAUAAAGUUGGAGUGAUCAUGGUCUUGUGCUUAAUCUGAUGCUCUUGGUUUUAUCUUACUCCCUUACGCCUUUCUUUUUACUUGUCCUCUUCUACUCCACUCAUUUUUCCCCACCUUUUCCUAGUUUUACGCCACGUGACAGCCGACAGCCUUGUCGGAACCGAUCUGUGGACAGAGAAUCUUUUAGUGAUAUUUGGGAAAAGCAGGACACUACUACUGAUGUCUUUAUAAAGCAUUCUGACAGCGGAAAUAAAUUUUUCUCCAAAACCAAAAAUUUGAAGUGAUCGAAAUAAGAAUUGAUGCUCUACGGUGUGGAAUGCCUCAUAAAAGUCCAAGAAUAAAAUCAAAGCGUCUGAUUCAACGUAAUCAGAGUAAUCCAUUAAAUCAAGAACAAGUCUAAUAUUACAAAUUAUGUGCCGAUUAGCCAUAACGCCGGUUUGGGUUUCAUUGAUGAUUUCACUUAAUCCUUUUUCAGUUGUCUGGCCAGAACUAAUGAGAGUAUUUUCAAGUCUACAUUUAAUAGUGUUAUCGGUCUCCAAUUAUCUAAAGACAGGUGAUCUUUGUCUGGUUUGGGGAUCAAUGUUAUUAUUCCUUGUUUCAUAGUUGCAGUCAUCUCUUCUUUAUCAAUACAUUCCUUUAUCAUUUCAAAGAGGGGGUUUUCAAUUAUGCUCUAGAAACAUAGGUAAAACUCGACAGGAAGCCCAUCCAUUCCUGGAGACUUUCCUUUUUUCAUCUUCUUAAUAGCUUCAGACAUUUCAGACUUGAGUUUAUCACAGUCCAGCUUGAAUUCGUUGGAUAUUUGUGGCGUAAAUUCUUUAACAUUGUUUUUCACAAUCAGUUUGAUUAUGAACAGAACUGUACAGAUCAGAAUAAAAUUUUAGAGUAUAAUUGGCAAUAUCAGAAGGAUCAGAGCUAGUUGAGUUAUCUAUUUUCAAAGAUGUUAUAUUAUCUCUUCUAUAAUUCCUUUUUUCCAGGGCGAAAAACGGCCGUAUUCAUUUCUCCCUCCUCUAGCCAUUUGGCUCUAGAACGUAUAAAUGCACCUUUGGUGAGACCCUGCUAUCGGUAAAACCGGAAGCGGAGAUGACGUCGUAUGAAGUCCCACUACUCCCCCUAUGCCAGUUCUUUAUAGGUCGUCGACCGUAAUCAGUACUACUAGUUGCCAUCCGCCGUUAACUAAGAAGAGGAAGAUAAAGAAGUACACAUUACUGCUCGACCUCCAUAAUCGACCAAAUCCAGAUUCUGCAAACAAAAGAUCGGAGCCAAAUCCACCGCGACUUUUUCAAACCUGGUGAUCCGAAACCGAGGUUUAAAUUUCCGCUCCAAAACGGAUUCAGCUCUGUUUCCAAACGCUCAUAAAGAAAAACAAGAGGAAGAAGUCGUCCACGUGGUACCGCGGUAACCACAAAGUUCUGUUUUCGCUGCUUCCGCUCUUGCGUUUGUGGAAAAUGUCCGGGUUUCAGGAUCUUGAUGAUUUAUUUAAUCGGCGGCUGCUGGCUGCGGUAAUGACGGACCUGGUCGAAAAUAGAACAGAGUCUGGAUACGAAGAGGAGCUCCGCCGCCAGAAAAAACUGCUGGCUGUGAUUUUAACACCCGAAAUCAAGCUGCACAGAGCAGGUCAGUUUUCCUUACACUUCUGGAUACAUGUUUCAAUGCCUUAACUGAAGCAAGCGCCACACACAGGCUGCAAUAAACCAUAUUAAUGAAAUGGCAAAAUAAUAUGAUUAAACCUGGAAUGAUUUUAAGGCAAAAAAAGUUUUUCUUCUCAAGGAAAAAGUUUUUUAUUACGAAUAUCUGAAGUACUACACAACCGCAACAACAAAUACAACAGCUAUCCUAUCAUGUUUGUCCUAUUAACUGCUGGACUGUGUCAAGUAUUUGUAGUUUAAGAGUCACACAUUGGUUUGAUGAUGAUUCUGAAAAACACAUGUUCCAGAUGUAUCUCUGUGGCCUACUUUAAAAUGUAAAUCUGUAUUGUCAGUCAGCAUUUCUCGUUUCUGUGCUGCCCAUCAGGCUAAAAUCCUGUCUGAUUCAGAGGGGUAAAGCCCCUUUAUUUUAGAGGGCUUGAUAAACAUCUCACCCACUAUAGCAAGGUAUUGGGUCGAGGGAAAAAAACUGUUUAAAACACUGAAAUUUCCUUGUUUUUUCAAACUACAUGUCUGUCUCCAAUUGUGAUGUGCAAUUGAAUAAUUAUUUACUUCAAUAAAUGUCAGUGAGGGGAUUAGGAAUUGAAGUUUGGGAGGCUCUGCUGACAGACACACAAACUAUCAAUGCAACCUAGUUGAUUUGGAUCCAUGGGAACUAAAUGUGAGCUGAAUUCUGAGCUCUUAGUGUGAACUCUCACAAUGCUGCUCUUGGUUACCUGGGUUGAGUGUUUUAUCAACACUGUGAUUGGUUACCUGGAACUAUGGUGCAGCAGCUUUUUGCACCAGGCUGCACCCAUUCAGUUUUGCCCAAGAAGUUUCAGGAGCACAUCAAUGAGCAUCAUAACAAAUGCUGUAAGUGAUUUGAAAAUAACAACAGAUUUAGUGGUGCCUCUUCAACUAAAUCCAUGCUGCUGACAUUGUUCAGUUCUUGGCAGGACUGUUGAAAAAUAGUCUAACUCUUAUCUUUCUUAAGAAUAUCAUUGAGUUUUUAAAUCUGCUUUCAUAUCUACUGAUGUUUUCAUCAACUUUUGUUUAGUUGUUGUUUUUCUGUGCCUUGCAGAUAUCCAACAGUUGUUGGUGGAAAAAGAGUUUCUCUCUGAGCAGCAGGGGAGGAGUCCCACUCUGGACCAGGGAUACACUGAGCCCCCGAACAUUUGCAAGGAACAGAAUCAUGGAGGACAAGAUCCAGCCAGUAACUACUCAGGGAUAAAUAUACAACGAAUGACUCAAGACUCCCCUGAACCUGAGACCGAGGGCAGUGAUGAGAAUUGGGAGGAUACAAAACCACAAAAGUCAAGUCUAAUGUCUGUGAAAAAAGUGAGAAAGAAGAUGCUAAAGAGGCUUGAGAAAUCACGUGUUUGCUCAAAGUGUUGUCGAAUAUUCAAAACACGACAAGAACUAGCAAUCCACCUGAAAGUUCACUCAGAGGAGAGACCCUUCAGCUGCUCAGAAUGUGGCAAAACAUUCAAAACUAAAGGCAAACUGGCAAGACACAUGACAGUUCACUCAGAUGAGAAACCCUUCAGCUGCUCAGACUGUGGCAAAACAUUCAAAACUAAAUACCACCUGGCAAGGCACAUGAGGGUUCACUCAGAUGAGAGACCCUUUAGCUGCUCAGAAUGUGGCAAAACAUUUAAAACUAAAGGAGAACUGUCUAGACACAUGAGAGUUCACUCAGAUGAGAAACACUUCAGCUGCCCAGACUGUGGCAAAACAUUCAAAACUAAAAACGACCUGGCAAGGCACAUGAGGGUUCACUCAGAGGAGAGACCCUUCAGCUGCUCAGACUGUGGCAAAACAUUACAAACUAAAUACGACCUGGGACAACACAUGAGAGUUCACUCAGAGGAGAGACCCUUCAGCUGCUCAGACUGUGGCAAAACAUUCAAAACUAUAUACGACCUGGCAAGGCACAUGAGGUUUCACUCAGAGGAGAGACCCUUCAGCUGCUCAGAAUGUGGCAAAACAUUCAAAAGAGAAGGAGAUCUGGCAAGCCACAUGAGAGUUCACUCAGAGGAGAGACCCCACAGCUGCUCAGAGUGUGGCACAACUUUCCAAAGAGAACCUGUGUUGAUAAAACACAUGAGAGUUUGCACUGGAGAAAGACCCUAGAGCUGCCCUGGAUGUAAUAAACUCUCUCAGUCUCAGUAUUUAAAUUCUGCAAGCAUCUCUGCUAAAAUGAACACAUAGUUAGAGAUAGAACAAGUGUGUCUACAACUGCAGAAAAAAACAAGCAUGUAGAGUGGACUGGUCUAAGAACAUAGACUUCACCCACAGAAAGUGGCAGAGCCGCCUCUUUUGCCUGAGAAGACUCCGAUUAGAAGAAUAGAAUAGAAUAUUCCCCAAUGGGGGAAAUUUUCUUGUCACAGCAGCAUCACAGACAAAGAGUGCAAAAUUGCAGUUAUAAAAAUAAAGAUCCUAAUAUUAAGAACUUCAAUAAAUGUAAUAAUUAAGAAAAAAAAUAGAAAAAGGAAAAAGGGAGAAGAAAAAUAAAACUAUCUACAAUAUACACAAUUUAAAUGCCAGAAAAAAGUGGUGGUAUAAAUCCAGUUAUUAUUACAGUUGGUUGUAAAGUCGUAUUGCAGAGGGGAGGAAUGGCCUGCAGUAGUGCUCCGUCCUGCAAGGUGGAAGUCUAAAUCUGCUGCUGAAGGAGCUGCUCAACAGACAUCUGUAGUAAGAUGCUGCAGAUGUUUUAUCAGUCUGUGGUGGCAAGUGUUGUGUUCUGCGCUGCAGUCUGCAGGGGAGAAAGCAUCAAACACAAAGAUGCAAAACGUCUGAACAUACUGGUGAAAAAGGCUGGCUGUGUUGGAGGAUGUGGUGGAGAAAUGUAGACUGAGGGAGGUGGAGGCUAUUUUAAAGAACAUGGAUCAACCACUUCACAACACCUUAAUGGACCAAAGGGCCAAUGGUGGUGGACAGCUCCUCUCUCUUUACUGCAGGACAGAAAGAUUGAGAAGAUCUUUUGUACCCACAGCCAUCAGACUUUACAACUCUUUUAUAAAUAGUAGAUGACUUUUGAGACAUGACCAGUGAGACGACAGACAAUUGGAUUUCCCUUCAGGGAUCAAUAAAGUUAUUCUUAUUCUUAUCCCUUGUAUUUUUCUUUUUUUUUGUAUGAUCUGGACUUAAUGGGUCUGAAAUAACCCUGUGCUGGGGCAACACUUAAUCUUCUGUAUCUUGUCCUGUGCUCUCCUAUUAUGCAAUGCAGUGGGGCGAGGUUUUUUUUUUUUUCUAAAUUCACUUAUUAGAAUGCCGAAGAUACUUGUAUUGAGUCCUGGUCUUUUGUUGUCACAUUAGACCUCUCUUAAACUUCAAUAAUAUUAACAGUAAAAUGUAUUAGGUUUAUGACCAAAAUUGAUUGUUUAGAAGAUUAUGAAGAAGAUAAUAGGGACAGAGAGGGUAGAUAGUGAGGACAAAGACAUGACUACUUCAAAAUAUAGAGACCUCUAGUCAAUAAAUACUGAGAUACAAGGACAUUUGCUAACUAAACUGUUACUUUUGUUUGAGUACUAAAAUAUUUGCUUUUGAAAAUGCCUAGAUAGACCUACUUAUUUGACUUUUUGAGAAAAUCUCAAAACAAUGUUGUUUUCUCAUCAUUCAUGUGCGCAUGUUUUAAAACUUAAAAACAUAAUUUAAGCUGACUUUAAAGCAAAAGUGGAGAGCAAUGAGAACAUGAUCUGGUUUGGUGGGGUCACCCCAUCUCAUCUCCAGUGACCAGGUCAAGCAUUACAUUCUUUUGGGGGUACUUAGGGUGAGAAAGCGGGCAUCUCUGCUACAAGACCCCAAUUUAUAUUUCUCUAAAGAAAUUAUGUAUGUGUUUGUUCUUUUUUUUUUUUUACUAUAGUAUUAUUUUAUUAUCUCCCAUGUUAUUUGUUCAAUGUUCCUUUGUCUGAAAUGUUGGGGUUGUACUUGGUCAUGAAGUUGACAGUUUUUGAUACAAAUAAAAAGUUCCCCUACUGCUAACCGGGAAGUGAAUCGGAAGCUGAGUGACAUCAAGGUAUAUUCCCCCCACACCGGACCUUUACCGACCUCCCAUAAUCAACCAAAUCCAGCAUCAAAUGAUCAGAGCCAAAUAAACUGUAGCUUUGUGAAACCUGAGGCCUGUACUAUGCAGCUGGAUUAACACACCCAGGAUAACUGCCAAAACUCACUUAACUUCACCAGAUCUCCGUAAUCCCGAUCAGCUGUACUACGAGGCAGGAUAUCAACUCGAUAACUGAAUUCAAUAGAGGGAAUUCACGCUGAUGUCAGUCGACUUCUGUCUGUCUGUGUGCAUCACAUCACAGAUGUGUCUAAAAUCUCCCAGAAUGAUUCCUGCCUUCAUUUAAGACAGAAAGAACAAACAGGCAAAGAAUUUUUUUGGAGACUGAGA